UUGUCUCUUUCGCGGAUUGAAAAGUCAAACUAUAAAAUGCCAUUACCAAAAAAGCCAAGCACAGCUUGGUUUCAACUCUCUCUAUUCGAGAGCAAAGAGAUAUCAAAUAAAAGCAGCGAUGUUUCCAGGAAUGUUCAUGCGCAAACUAGACAAGCGGUGGCCUUGAAGCAGCUGAAGGCAUAUGUGGCUAUGUUGGCGUCUGGGUAGGUCUGGUUCGUGUCACUCCUUGCAUUUUUCAUUACCACUCUCAAAAGACUUGUCCGCUACUCCAAUUUGAGGUUGAAAAGCAUUUGGAGGCUGGCAAAUGAAUCCUGAGCUUGGUGGCUGUUGGUGCUUGAAUGUGGCUGGGGAUUUGAGAUUUGAAAGCGCCAAACUAACAUCUAAGAGAUAAUGAUUGGUCCAUUGAAGAGAAGAGCCGCACUCUGUCUUUCCCAUCAUACAAAGAGAGGGAUAUAACAUUGACCGAUCAGACUAGACGAUCCAGCUCUGAAUAAUUUGGCUACUUCAUAUGACUCAAAAGCUGUAUCUAGGGCAUUAUUUCUUCAUUUUAAGAAGCACCUCCAGACCAAAAUACAUUAUGUCAUUUUACAAUAAAUGGUAAAGCUGAGACUCUGGGUGUCUUUUUCAUCAUGUCAUGUAAAAAGUUUCAUGUUACUUCCUAAUCAAAUGGUUUUAUCUGCAAA